CUUAGUACGGCGGAGCGGGAACAUUUUAUACGUUAUGAAAUAACGUUAUACCUAGGACAAGAUAUAUUUACGAGUUACCAUAAAGGUUUUAUCUGGAGCAGUAGGACAUUCCACAAUUCCAGCAUCCUUUUUAAUACAUGCAAAGACAUUCUUGAUGACAGAAGGCUCACACAAACAGUUUGACAGUUGGUGUACAGUAACAUGUGUCUCUGUAGUGGCCUGCUUGAUGUGGUCAGUUUGGGAUGAUGUUAUAUCCAAUACAUGGCUGUCGAUUGGUCGCGUCUUGACCCAGGCCACUACCUGGUGGAUGAAAUGGUAAUGGGGACAAGUAUGAAAGAAGCACAUGGCGAGUGAGACCCACGGCACCCUGUCAUAACAUUGGCGACGAGGAUAAGCAAGAAAUACUAACAUGGCACAGGGAGAACUGCACAGGGUUUAACAAAGCACAAGUAUAUUACCACCGAGAAUAGAGGAAUGGAUGAUGGACUUACAAGAUGUUGACUAUGAAGUGGUAUAUGAGCCAGGAAAGAAUGAUGCAGACUCUAUUGAUUGUCUCUCCAGACACCCACGGCCACAAACGGGUGGUGAUAGUACAGAGAGGAGGAUCAGAAAAUGCAGUAGUUCUUGAUGAGAUAGCUUGGGAAACCCUCACUGACCCAACACUAAUCAAACUUGGAGAGAGAAUCUCAGCAGGAGAUUGGAAUCUAUACAGUAAAGAUGAGGACAUUGAACCAUACUGGCACAUGAGAGAAGAAUUUAGUAUAUUUGAAGGACUCAUUUACAGAAUCGCUGUC